rnacentral:misc_RNA from 1 species
GAAAUGCGAUAAGUAGUGUGAAUUGCAGAAUUCAGUGAAUCAUCGAAUCUUUGAACGCACAUUGCGACCUUUGGUAUUCCUUAGGGCAUGCCUGUUCGAGCGUCAUCUAAACCUUCAAGCCCUGCUUGGUGUUGGGUGCCUGUCCCGCCUCCGCGCGCGGACUCACCUCAAAUCCAUUGGCGGCCCCCGCGGCGGCCACGAGCGCAGCAGAAACGCGAACUCGUGAGCCCGUCCGGGCGGCUCCCAGAAGCUACACCCACCCAGUUUGACCUCGGAUCAGGUAGGGAUACCCGCUGAACUUAAGC